rnacentral:lncRNA from 1 species
AGUCCUGGUGAGCGGCCUGUUGAGGAAGAAAUUCAGCACAUCACUUUCUUGCCUCCACCGGCUGAGCAUG